rnacentral:sRNA from 2 species
UCUUAGGGGUGCUAGGGUUCCGGUCGCGCGCGAGUGCGAUGCCUGGUCCGAGAGCAGCCCGGCACGGGCCGGCGCGCGAUGCGCGGGACACGUGCUACACGGCGGGACAAAAGCCCGGGAGAG